rnacentral:misc_RNA from 1 species
AUCUUAGUUAAAUUUUGAAAAACUGGAAUAUUGAUUUUCUAGUUCUCCAUUUGGAAAACUGGUACAUGUGAACACAAAACUUUGUUUUUCAGUUUUUUUAGAAAACUUUCCAAGAAGACUACUCUAGUUUUCCAGAAGUAAACAAGCCCUUAUUUUUUCAGGAGUUCUACUAUUAUUUAGGAAGUAUAUAUUACUUAAGAAGUAUUUUAUUUUAUUUAGGAAGU